rnacentral:rRNA from 1 species
UACGUAGGGGCCGAGCGUUGUCCGGAGUUAUUGGGCGUAAAGCGCGCGCAGGCGGCCUCGCGCGCCCGACGUGAAAGCCCCCGGCUUAACCGGGGAGGGUCGUUGGGGACGGCGGGGCUUGAGGGCGGGAGAGGUCGGUGGAAUUCCCGGUGUAGUGGUGAAAUGCGUAGAGAUCGGGAGGAACACCUGUGGCGAAGGCGGCCGACUGGGCCGACCCUGACGCUGAGGUGCGAAAGCGUGGGGAGCAAACAGG